rnacentral:lncRNA from 1 species
GGAGCUACACAGAGAGCUACAGGAAUCAAGUCUGCCCUGAGAUAUCUGUCUUCUUCAGCAGGUGCACCUUCCUGUUGUCUUUGGAUAUUUGUCUCCAGUUUCUUCGACCUUUCAGCAGAGUCACACUAGGGACUCUCAAGUCACCUUUGAGGCCUUCAACUUUAGACUACUGCUGUGUCCUUGAUAACCUCAUGUUCUGCAGUUUCCAUCUUCUUCAGCUCAGCAGCUACUGGAUCCCUGACUCUCCAGCAUGCAGUCAGUCAUUGCGGACUCUCCUGCCUCUGAUCCUGUGAGCCUACUCAAUAAAUGCCCUUUCAUAAUUAAACAUAUAGUUCCUAUUGAUUCUCUUCUGCUAGAGAACCCUAGCUAACACACUGCCCUAAUGAUGUUUGCAAACAAGGAUCAAAAUGAUAUGCAAGUAACUGCCUGCUAAAACAAAGUCCAACUCUUUAGAGAAGUCAACAAAACUAAGUGCUCAAGAAUCUAGAAUUCAGUGUAUUUAUCAUUCAGUCAAAAGUUAUUAGAC